UGUGUGAUUUACCUGUGGUUCUGCCUUAAAGACAAGCGGAAUGUGCAAGAUGACUUCUCAAGGGUCAUCCUGCCAGUUAAGGCGGUCCCCGGGGGGUGGGAGAUACAGACAUAGCAGACCCAUAUCCACAAACCUGUGGCUCGGAAUGGGUUCAGGGGUGCCUCAGACGCUCCCAGGAAAGGAGGGAGACCCUCGCCGCUGCGGAGGAAUUCAGGGGCGCAACCACUCCGACCCCGGGAGCACACGGCAAAGCGGAAGAGCGCAGGUGCCAGCCUGAGCAUCCCUCUGAUUAGGAAUUCCAAUCUGCAUGACUGGAAUCCAUCCUCCCAAACUGUGAUGCUGAACAGAGAAUAUCUGUGCUCAUUGGGUGGAAUCCUGUGCUUUACAGAACAUGGGAAGGGACCAAGGGGGGAAAACCUCCCCUUGAGGAAAAGAAUACUGGUUCCUAGGGGGAGGAGAUGGUUUUCAGGUUGAGAGACUUGGGGAGGUGAUUGGAUAAAGGCAGAGAACAAGCCACAUGCAGAAGAAUGAAAUUGGACCAUUUUUUUACACCAUACACAAAAAUAGACUCAAAAUGGAUGAAAGACCUGAAUG